GAGAUGAUCUGUGUAAAUACUGAUCAAAACAAUUAUACACGAGCUUCGGAUACAGCGAAGGCAGUGGCUGUUUUACCAGAAGCGCCUCAAGGGCAUUUUAUCAAACACCUAGGGUGCGUCGGCUCAAGACCGCCAUGGACAAGAAUAAGACUCGAAACUAGAUCAAAGCUUAACGAGAAUGGCAGGGAAUGCUCAACAUCAACAAAUCACAGCAUAAGCGAACUUGAAACGCACGCCCCGGCUCAGUAAUCCAUGCAAAAAAUGUGAGAGAACAGGACAAGAGCAGGGCACCAAAAAAAAGUCGGCGGGGCGAUUCCAGGUCUCCCUCUUCCCGGUCACUCUCCGUUUCUCCCCCUCAGGCUCCCUCAAGCUCUCCCCUUCACUUGCUCCUCUCUCGCUUUUAAGCAUUGACGCGCAUGGUCUUCUGCCAAGCCAGCUGUUGCUGCCUGUCUGCCCCCCGACCACCAACUCCGGUGCGAGGCUCAUGCCUGCCCCUUUCUGCCUCUGUCCCUCCUCUUGCUCGCG
rnacentral:lncRNA from 1 species